rnacentral:rRNA from 1 species
CUCUGGGAUAACUGCGGGAAACUGUAGCUAAUAGGAUACGACCUUGGAAGGCAUCUUCCGGGGUGGAAAGUUUUUCGGUCAAGGAUCAGCUCGGGCCUAUCAGCUAGUUGGUGAGGUAACGGCUCACCAAGGCAACGACGGGGUAGCCGCUGAGAGGGUGACCGGCCACACUGGGACUGAGACACGGCCCAGACUCCUACGGGAGGCCAAGUGGGGAAUAUUGCACAAAUGGGCGAAAAGCCUGAUGCAGCAAACGCCGCGUGAGGACGAAGGCCCUUCGGGUUGUAAACCCUCUUUUAGUAGGGGAAGAAAGCGAAAAGUGAGUACCUGCAGAAAAAAGCACCGGCUAACUACGUGCCAGCAGCCGCGGUAAUACGUAGGGCAAGCGUUGUCCGGAAUUAUUGGGCGUAAAGAGCUCGUAGGCGGUUUGUCGCGUCUGGUGAAAACCCGAGGCUCAACCUCGGGCCUGCAGUGGGUACGGGCAGACUAGAGUGCGGGGGGAGAAUGGAAUUCCUGGUGUAGCGGUGGAAUGCGCAGAUAUCAGGAGGAACACCAGGCGAAGGCGAGUUCUCUGGGCCGUAACUGACGCUGAGGAGCGAAAGCGUGGGGAGCACUAGGAUUAGAUACCCUGGUAGUCCACGCCGUAAACGUUGGGCGCUAGUUGUGGGGAC